rnacentral:lncRNA from 1 species
GUCUGGGAGGGGAAAGCUGCUCAGGUCCUGGCGGAGGUACGGGAGGAGCCAGGGAGGGAGACACACUCUUCUGGUCCCGCCCCAGUGACCCUCUUCCAACCAGACCCACCUCUUAAGAGCCAGGCAGCCGUGACACCCCCCACCACCCAGCCCCGCGAGCACAUGAGGCUUUGGGCGGACAUCUAGGUAGAAACCAUAACGGGGGUUAAUAAUCACGACUAUAAAACAUUCAGCAAACUAAGUAAAAUGGGCAACUUCAUUCAUUGCUAGUACUAGCGAACAAAGUGAGAGAACUUUUGCUGAUAAGACAAUUUGUUAACAUUAAAAAUAUUUAUGUUCAUACAAAAAUUCAUACAUGAUGGUUCAUAACAACUUUAUUUGUAAUAGCCCAAAACUGGAAUCAGCCCAGAUGUCCUCCGACAGGUGAAUGGUUAAAGAAGCUGUGGUGUAUCUAUACUGGAGAUAAAUGAAAGCAGUGAACCGUUGAUACCCACGAAAACUUGGAUGAUCUCCUGGGAAUUGUGCUGUGUGAAAAGACCCAAUCCUAAAAGGUUACGUGUUGUAUGUUUCAGUUCCUGAAGUGACAAAAUUUAGAAGAGGAGGACAGAGUAGUGGUACAAAAUAUUAAGCGGGGGUAGAGAAAUAGGUGUGAUUAUAAAAAUAAAACAUGAGGAAUCUUUGUGGUGCUGGGACUAUAGUGGUGGAUAUACAAACUUACACAGGUAAUAAAACAGCUUAGGACUUAAUAUACACAUACCCAGACAAGAACAAGAGAAACAUUUACAAGGCCGGUAGAUUGUAGCAAUGUCAAUAUUCUGGCUGUGAUAUCAUAAUAUGGCUUUGCAAACCGUUACCAUUCAGUGAAAGUGGGCAAGGUGCACAUGAGAUCACUGUAUUAUUUCUUAACAGCAGCAUGGGAAUCUAUACUUAUCUCAUUUUCUUACUAAAUGUUAUGACAAAUUAUUAAUGUCUCUGCUGGGUAUAGGGGAGAAGGAGCUGCCCAUGUGUUCCCAUUGUAGAAUUCCAAAGAGGAAGGUUAAUAAAUAUUAUUCUCAUUAUGGUACAUCAAUGAAAUGAUCAUAACCAUGGGGGGUAUUUGUAUCUAUUGACCCAAUAAUUCCACUUCUUGGAAUGUAUUAUUAACAAUGCAUGAAGCCAAGCAGGAUGCCCGCUUAUAAUCUCAGCUAUUCAUGAGGCUGAGGCAGGAAUAUUCAAAAUGUGAGGCCUGCCUGGGCAAUUUAGCAAGACUUUGUCUAAAUAAAUAAAUAAAUAAAUAAACAAACAAAUGUUAAAAACAGGCUGGGAAUAUAGCUCAGUGGAAGAGCGCCUGCCUAGUAUGUGCAAGGUCCAGGGUUCAAUCCCCAGUACCACACACACACAUAUACAGGGGGGAAAAAAGGGAAGAAAUUUUAUGUGUUUGGAUAUUCACUGCCAUAUUAUUUAUAGCAGUGAAAAGAUAUAAAUGAUUAAAAAUAGGUGAUGAGACAUAAAUCACAGUGUAUGUAGGUGAUAAAAUACUCUACGUAGACUUUAAAGAUGCUUUAAAAAAAUACACCCAGAAGGGCUGGGGAUUUAGCUCAGUGGUUCCAGCGCCUGCCUCGCAAAUGCAAGGUCCCAAGUUCGAUCCCCGGUACCCCCCCGCAAAAAAAAACACUCAGAGCCUGACAUGGUGGUACAAUCUGUAAUCCCUGCACUGGGGUGGCUGAGGCAGGAGGAUCUCUAUGAGUUCAAGGCUAGUUUGGGAUACACAGUGAGUUCAAGGCUGGCCUCGACUACAUAGUGAGACCCUGUGUCACCCCAUCUUCCCAAAACCCAAAACCAAAACAAACAAAAAACACAAAAUCAACCCAAAAACAACAAAUUUAAAAAAUCACCCAGUACAAUGCUGGUACAUAGUAGACACCCAAUAAAUGCAGUUCUCUUUUCUUCCUGGAUUGCUCUGGAUAUCAAAAGAGCUAAUAUAGGGGCUGGAGAUGUAGCUCAGUGGUUCCACUGCCUGCUUUGCAAGCACAGGGUCCUGAGUUUGAUCCCCAGUACCAAAAAAAGAGCUAAUGUAGGUCAAUGUACUUGGCAAACUGUAAAGUGCCUGGAGAAAGCUAGUUGUUGCUAUCCUUCUUAGGGCUGCCAGGUACAAGAGUGGCUAAGAGGUGGCAUGGGACCAUAGCUUCUUUCCUGGCUAGGGAGGCACGGGAAUGGGGGAACUGACUCCUUGGGGAAUCUGGGUCCUUUCUAGGGCACUGCCACUCUAGUCCACGCCAUGAAGAAAACAACGAACAUUCUCCUGGCAAGUGGGGGGCAUCACAGAGUGUGGAACCACGUGGGCCCUGCUGGCUCUGCAGUAACAGUGCUCUACUGCAUUGCGUGCCCACUGUCGGGCACUGUCCUGGGUGCUUUACACAUGUGUGUGCAGAUUCUCACAACCACCCAAGGGGAGCUGUUCACCUGCACAUCACAGAUAAGGACACUCAGGCUCAAAGGGGCCAAGUGACUUACCAAGGCAGCUGGCGAGUGGCAGGGCUGGCACUGGAACCUGGCCCUCUGCUGGGUUAAUCCGUGAUCUGAGCACCACAGGUAUGAUAUUUUGAUGGCGUGAGGAGGUGUGCUGUGUGGAGACUGAGGCAGCCCGCAGAAGGAAGCACGUUCUCCGGCGUUCCCUGUACAUGUAGGACUCCAAUCCCUUGUAGGCAGAAGACAGACCUCUGGAGAGAAGUAGGCCCACUCUGGUCUUUCAUCCUAGAGGAAGUUUUCUCGUGUGUUUAACCUCCAUCUUGCCUGCUGACGUCCAGUCUCUUUUCUCCCUUUGCUUCCAGUGAGGAUGGGGAGCUGAUGGCCUGGUUCCUCCUGACUUCUCCAUGAAUGGUUCCAGGGACUUCUAUUUUCCCAGCUCCUCGGAGGACAUGAUGAGGGUGCUUCAGCCCCUUUGGCCUCUGUCCAAGGUACCCAGGCCCCUGGGACUACAGUCAGGGGCAUGAAUGGUUUUCCUGACCCACCUGGUGUGACCUCCAGCGCAGCCUCCUGUCACCCCGAUCCAGAGAGGAUGGAGAAGGCGCAUCUGCCCACCUGGCCUGUGAAUGGGGAGGGCAUUAGUGCUUUCAAACACCUGUGGUUCUGCACCAUUCCCAGCCUGCCCAGGCCUUUCAGCCAGCCCCAGCCCCUUGCUGCUCCUCUCUGGUCCCAGGUACCUGCUCUAGGGUGGACAGCACCGAGAGUGCUGAGGACCACACUCCGGGCCUUGGCCAUGCCGCUUCUAAGACUCGAGGGUCCGAGAUGUGAGACGUCAGCCGGUGGCCGAUAAGAUCCUGCUUGCCCUCCUCAUCUGACUUUCCUCCCUCCACACCUACAUGCUUCUCCUUUUCCUAUUUCCAGGAACUUUCCAAAUGCAGGAACACAGAGCAACUGCAGGACAGGAUUCCACCAAAUUCCCCUCUCUGGCUCUUGGUUUCCACAUCUGUAAAGUAAAGGGUCGGGCAAGAUGAACGCCACGUUGGCUUCCUUGCAGCAGUGAGGUUCCAUGGUCCAGACCCCAAGGCACCACACUCAUUUGUACAUAACCUCCAGGACACUUUCUUCACGUCAGGACAGAGGAACCACUCUGCUCUCAACUCUGCCCUCCAGUCACCUCACCAGUCUUUGGGUCCAUGGCCCCUCGCGCUUGUCCCUCUUUCUUCAGGAACCUCAGACCUCCGUUCCCAACUUCCUUUCACAAGUUUACCACAUUCCUUGGGCUAAGCCGACUGGACAAAACACCAAGAAACCACCUUACCUACUACCCUGGCUGUGAUUUCGGGCUCCAGGCCCAAGUCAACUGCUUUGGGAGGUCCUGGCCACUGGAGGAAAUGCUGGCACCUCUCCCCAGCACCUCCCCUGCUCCUCCACCUCACUGUUCUCCAUGCCAGCACGAAAAGUGGCCAGUGAUUGAUGGGCCUGGGUUCCCGGUAACCGCACCCAGUGGCCCAAUCCUCCUCCCUUCCUCAAUCCCUCCCCUGCCCCUAUUCAGAGCUCAGAUUGUCUCAUGUUGGUCCCUGAGGUCCCAUUAAUUAAAAAUACAUCCAAUUAAAUGGCAGGUGAAAACGUGCUGCUGGAGCUCCACCCCCCACCCCAGCUUGGUCUCUCCGCUCCCCCUGCCCAAGGCUCAGCUGUGCUUUGGCUGAGAAAAGAGAGGGGGGAGAGAAGGGAAGAGAGUAGAGGAAGACAUAGGGGUAGGAGGAUGGCAGGGGGCUACUUGAACCUCUGCCAGGGUAGCAUGUGCCAGCCUGGGAGGGUGGCACUGUGCCCUGGGGUCUAAUUUCUGGAGGUGUGAGUAGUUCAGUCAGCUGGGUACCCACCUCCAUUUCCCUUAAAGAGGCAGAGGGCAGCCAGGGGGUGGCUAACUGUGCUGCCUACUUCUGCGUUUGGUGGCACGAGCGUAAAUGGUAGCAGGGCCUUCGGAGGGGUGUGCUGUUCAGAGGUCAGGGGCAUCUCAGACCUCCAUCCUGGCCAUAUCUCUGCUCUUCCCCAAACUGCGAAGAAGAUAAUGAGGAGCCAAUGGGGACCCAGGUGGCAGGACACGGCAACGCUCCUGAGCCUGGCUGGGGCUGCUCUUGCCUACAGGAAACCAAGAGACAGAUGCAGGGAGUGAGAAAGAAAGGAGCCAUGACUUGGGCAAGGGCAGACGGGUCAGAUAGAGUAGAAUAUUACAGAAAUGGGUAUUCACGUGGGCACCAUGCCCCCGAGCACUGUAUAGGCAAGAGGGCUUGGAGGCCCUCGUCCUGUUUGCCCUUGGUCUCUGCGGA